rnacentral:lncRNA from 1 species
UUAAUUAAUUAUAUAUUAAUUAACUAUAUUGAUUUAUUAAUUUAUUGUUUUUUCUUAUUUUUAAUAAUAAAAUAAAGAGUUUAUAAAUUAGUAUCGUGUAAAUCUAAUUUGAUAAUUUUAUUUGAGAAAAGCUAUAGAUAUACUUUAAAGUGAGAUGUAUAUCUUACACCUACUUUAUUCUAAAAUCAUUUGCCACAUCAAUUUUUUUAAAAUUUUACUAAAAAUUAAUUUGAUUUUUAUCAAUUUAGGAUGGAUCACCGGUGUAAGAUAUACACCCUUUUUAGGAUGUAUAAAAAGUAUUUUUUAUUUUGUUUUAUUAUUUAUUCAAGCAUAAUUUUAUAUAAUUAGAUUACUAUACUACUAAGAGUAUCAAGUGCUUGCUGCUAUUAGGUUUUUGGCCUCUAGAUAAAAAGACGUAUGUUAGAUGUGGUUAGGAUGAUAAUGGUUUUGAUUAGAACGAUAGUCGUCUUCUAAAAUUGAAUGUUGAUUAGUUGAAUGGUAUAAUAAUAUAACGGAUGGAAAUGAUCGAAAAGAUAGAUUUAACGGUAAAAAAUAGACUCUAAUUUUUUAAGUUUUAUAAAAAAAGUAUAAUUAAAAUUUACAUUUUAAUUGAUGCUGUAAUAAACUAUAAAUCCAACAUAUCAUAAAAUUAAACUAUUUAUAUUAGAGAUGGGAAGAAAAGUGAGAUGAGGACAAUUUCUAGUUAGUAGUAUGGGAAAAAAUAAAAAAUAAAAAAUAAAAAAAGGAAGCUUCUCUUAUAUAUAUAAUGCACUAAUGUCCAUGAAAUGGUUGUUGGGUUUGAUGGAGUCCAAAACCCUCUAUCAUAUUAUUCAAUCACACCGACCGUUCCUAGAGCAAAUGACAAAGGACUUGGUGGUUGGUACCCGAGACUCAAAUUCGAAUCCUAGUUGAUUCACAUUUCUAUCUAAGUUUAUUUCUAAAUGAAAUAAACGAAGCGGGUAGCGUGCUAUCUAUCUCUAAAAAAAAAAAAAAAGUUAUUCAAUCACUAGUAAAAUCAUAAAUCAUUUCAAUUCAAGGCUUUAAUGAUAUAAAAAGGGAAAACUUCAAAAACCCCCCCUGUGGUUUCGUGCAUUCUCAUUUUGCUACCCUGUGGUUUAAAACGUAUCAAUUUGCCCCUCUGUGGUUUCGUUUUUAUCUUUUUGUUAUCAAUUUUAUUAUUAUUUUUUUUUAAAAUCAGUGACAAAGUUAAAAUUAAAGGAUACUAAAGUGACUAUUCGAUAAAUAUAGAUGGUUAUCUGAAGUUUUUUGUAUAUAAUUUAACGAAAUAUUAACGAAAAAGUUUCCGAAAAGAUAAAAAUGAAACCACAGGGGGGUAAAUUGAUACGUUUUAAACCACAGGAUAGCAAAGUGAGAAUGCACGAAACUACAGGGGAGGUUUUUGAAGUUUUCCCAUAUAAAAAUGAAUAUAUGUUUAAGAUUUGGGAUAAAAUAUCGUGAAUUAACCUUGUAGGUUUCUAAUUCUAUGUGUGCAUUUGGCUUCAAGAGGUCAAAUUUCGCAUCUGGUGAUUGCAAUGCAUUUUUUUUUUUUUUUUUUUUUUUUCCUUUGGAAAAGCAGAAGGCAAAAAAAAAAGACUUGAGAUAGUAGCAUUGACCUGUUCUUUUCUCAUGAACGGUCGGCGGUGCUGUGGGACCCAGGGCACCAAUCUGCAAGUUGGAAACGUUCAAACCCGAAAUAAGUGACGCAGUGGAUAAGACCAUGUUUGGUGACGCUGAUGCCUUUUUGAUUUUUUUUUUUUAAAGAAAAAUCUAUUUUAAAAAAAAAAGAAUAAAGAGGCGUGGACCGGUCCAAAUACAGAUUAUAAAUUGAAGCACUUUUGGCCCGGCCUAUGUAGAUGUGGGCUUUGGGCCGUUCGAUCUUUUCCUGGUUCAGCAGCUUCGUUCCCUCCCAUUCGACCAAACCCCCUCCCACCGCCGUCGCCGUUUCCCCGACAUCGUCCACGACUCCUUCGUAGGCUCGUAGCUCGUCCAAAUAUAUAUCUCUCUCUCCCCGCCUCUCACGCCGUUAGCGCGCCCGUUAUCUCGGUCUACAAACUAUACUUGGAUGAGCCAGCAACUCAUACCGAUCUAGAUAUUUCUCGGUAUCUCUCUUAACUAUUUCCUUUUUUUGGUUCAUUUUAACUUAACAAAAAUAUGAUCAAACGAUGCGAGAAAUACACUCCUAAUUUGUCUGUAACGAUGUGCUCGACUUUAACUAUUGUUGCUCCUGAAAAUUGUUAUUUGCUCAUUUUUCUUCAUAUUGUUGUUGUUUUUUUUUUUUUUUUGGUUUUCAAACCACAGGUACUUUGACCUGAUUAAACAAUCAGAUGAGGUGGUUAGAGAAAUUGUUAGAUUCCAGUAGUACAAAUGUUGAGAUUAGGAAGGGGAUCUCUUUGUUGGUUUCAUCCAUCAAUCCGAAAAGUAGUCAUUAUAAUUUCACAGAGAAUUACAUUCAUCAUAUGCCAUCAAAGGUGUUUGAUCAUAGAUGGGCUACUACAUUGUGUCCAGUGAAUAUACCUUUAUCAGGGAGAGAAUCCACUUUUUUGCAACAUCACAAUCGAAGCAUUCGUAGUUCGUCGGGAGCUUCCUUUACCUCAUUUCGCGGAAUUGCGAACUCCGCUAAUGGAGAGAGCUCUAUUACUAGGGAAUGGCUCGCGCAGCUUUGGCGCGAAGAAUUGAGUAAAAACAAGAUUAGAAGAAGGAAGAGGAGGACGAGGAAUCAAGAAGUUGUGCAGUAUGUUGAAGAUUCUCCGGCUUCGUUCCGGUUCCUGUUCUUUAAACCGGCCGAGGAAUAUAUGAAACUUGAGAGAACUACUGAGCAGCCGCCAAUUAGUCAGUACGACGGCGAUCUUCUCUCUCCAAGUUCCCCUGAAGAGGCAAGAAGCAAUUUUUUUAUAUAGGACUCGAUUGUUACUGUUGCUGUUUUGUUGUUUCUGAAACUAGAUUCAAGCUCGCUAGAGCGUCCACUUCAUGCAAAAACUGCAGAAGAUGGCACGUUCUACAUCCUCGACCCCAUAUGCGGGGACGUAGUGGAUGAAUUGUUGCACUGAAUAGCGACUGUCAUUUGCUCCAUGGUUUUCCUUCGGGGGAAGCCGCAAUUUUAAGUAAUCUUAUCAUAUUGUUUUCUCUUCGACUGAACUAUCUCCAUUUACACGAUGGAACUUUGCUCGAUGUUUACAGAAUGAUUCUGAUUUUCUUUCAUACUCUUUAGGUCAAACUGGCGCCUCUUCUUUCGAGAGCCAAUCUGGUUAUUGCGAGAGACAUAGAAUGGGCGAAUAUUAUGUUUGCGUUUGAACAGGUGGUGUUUUAUUUUAUUUUUUCACUUGAUAAGGUGUAUUCGCUUCUUGACAUUGAAAUAUUUGUACUUUUUUUUUUUACCGGGCAAUUCCUAUCUUAUGUAACCUGCAUACUUGUUUUCAAGUUGUCUGUUGUGAUGAACAACUACCAUUUUCUCAAAUUGAGAAGAAUUCCAUUUCCAUAUCGUUAUUAGCAUGAAUAUUGAAAACUCAAGUGUUUCCAUUUGUUAUUUUUUUCAAUGUGAAAUUACAGGAAAGUCGAUAUGUGAUAAUGGAUCCUUACUUCCAUCAAUCUGUGAGUAAAUAACCUUGUUAGGCCGUUUGAGUGGAGGACAUUUAACACUUUUUUUUUUAAUCUAAAGGGACCGACAUGAAUUCUUCCUUUCUUUGCAGCCAGUGGGUUUUAUUAGGGAGCAAAGUAAUGUCAUCUUUAGGCAGGUAUAUUACUCUUUCCCCCUUACUCCUAAUUUGUUGCUUGAUUUGAUAUUGGGACUUUUGUAUAUAUCACUAUUCUUUCGCACUUAUGUAAAAUAAAUGUACUUGUUCACAACAUAGAAGUUUGAGUUCUUUUCCUUUUUUUUUUUUCUUUUUUUUUAGAAGCAUUUUGUUGUCCUUCGUCUAGUGAGUCUUUACGCUGCAUCUCAACAACUUUUACUCUUUUUGGUUUGAUCACAUAUAUUUCACCAUAAGUGAGAAAGAUAAUUUCCCAGCUGAUCACGUAUACUUCACCACGAGAGGAAAGAUAAAAUUCUCAGAUCUUGUUAGUUACUGAGGAUAGUUCAGAUUGAUGUGUACAUUAUGUUUCACUGUUUAAAGCAAUCAUUCAGCAGCUUGUCAGCAACUCGUAAAAAUAUAUCACCAAAGUUAAAUGACUGUAAUGACGAUUGUUAAUGUUUGGCUUGUAAUUUGUUUCUCUCUCUCUCUCUCUCUCUCUCUCUCUAAAUUAUCUGUGCUUCUGGGUUAGCUACAUUAGUCCAAACUGCUACUACAUUAGUCUGUUGAAUAACAAUAUUUGAAGUUUGGGCAUUGUAUUAAUGGAUUAAAAAUCUAAUCUUCUCAUGCGGAUUCUGCAGCUUAAUUAUAUAUUGUUUUCUGAAAAUGUUACGUACAGCUACUUCGUGCACGACGCCCAUUUGUUGCAUACAUAACUGAUGCCCUGGGCAAUGAAAUUUUUAGGGUAAGACCUAUUAGAAUGGGCCUUUUUCUUGCCUCGCAAUUCAGUCAAUUGCUGGUUCAUGUUAUAUUUACUAAGGUUUAGGUUCGCAGGCCUUUUUGGUGGAUAAACAGCACAAUCUAUGCCGAGGUAGAUGGUAAGGUAUGCAUUUUCAUUUUUAAGCCUGUGUUAUUCAAUGUUGCAGUUGAAAAAUCGCCCUGGAUGGAGGUAAUAUGAACAAACUACUUGAAAAUGAUUCCAGAUUUUUGUUGUUUGGAUUUUCCUUGUUAGGAAAUUGGUGUAGUCCAUCGACGUUGGCAUCUCUGGCGGCGAAUCUAUGAUUUGUACUUGGGGUAACUUAAAGCUUUCUUGCUCUUUUCUUUUCUUUUCUGUUUUUGAUAUACCUUUUUGUAUUUUCUGUCCAAUAUGUUGUUUUGUUCAACGUGAAUUCAUACAUUCUUAGUUUAAUAUAAGGGGAUGGUGAUCAUCCAUCGGAACUUGCUUGGCGUGAGCUUAAUAGCAAUACAAUGAUGAUAGAACCAUGAUAACCAUCGGAUGAUUUUUGAAUGCAGGCACGUACAUCUGUUUUAAAAAUUGAACUGUCAAGGAUGGAAUCGGGUAUUUUACAUCUAUUAGUAAGAAAAGAUCACGGCGUGAAGAUUAGUAAAUAUAGUAGAAAGCGAAUUCUUAUGAACAACAAUAUGAAUUAUUAGUGCAUUUUGAGGCUCAGCGUUUUUAUGAAUGCCACUCUUUUCUGGUAAGAAAGCUGACUGAAUUUCUGUGUCCCUAUACUCCCUUCGAAAAAUAGCCCUUUGUCCUCUUCGGUUUACGAUUCUUCUUGAGAAUGUUUUUAGUUCUUUAGUUUGAGCCUAAGAGUAGAUAUUAGUCUUAACUUCAAUGGAAGAAAACCUACUAUUAUUAGUGAUUUGAUAUAGCCAGUGAUCGAAAAGAGUAAGUUUGAAUUGUUGUUAGCAUUUGAUUGCAGGAACAAACAGUUUGCCGUAGUUGAAAACCCCGGUUUUUGGAAUUGGACAUUUACUUUGAAGGAUGAGGAUGACAAUGUGUUAGCCCAGAUUGAUCGGAAUUGGAGGGGCAUCGGUUUUGAGGUUUUUAUCUUACUUCAUUUCCAAACCUACUGUUCACAUCUCCGAGGGACUAAUAUAUAUCCUAAUCCUCUAGCAAUUUGAACGAAAACUGGAGAUAUUUUAUAUAUUUUCUUUUUUAAUUUUUUUUUCCUUCAGCUCUUCACUGAUGCUGGUCAGUAUGUGAUUCGUUUUGGGGCUGUUGGUUUGGAAAGGAAAUCUAGCUUGGCUUCACCUGUAAGCAUUUUUGUGGAUUGGGUGGCGUUUGCAAGCAAAUGUCUGCAUGUUCAUAUGUUCGUCUAUUUACCGUCUUUAGUUUCAUGAUCUCUGUUAUCGGAUGCUUUUCUAGAUCGAAGAAUUGGAAGUUGUUCGCCCAUUAACUCUCUCUGAGCGAGCUGUGGCUGUUGCUCUUGCCGUGUCUCUCGACAGUGAUUAUUUCUCCAGGCGUGGUGGAUGGUAAGUUUCAAACCUGAUCGAGUUUUUUUCUUUUUUCUUUUUUUUUUUUUCCUUUAGUUCAUUAAAUUUGGCCUCUUAUCAUGUAUGAGAAUUCUGUUUUUCUUUUAUAUCGAACUUCCGUUAUAUAUUAAAUGUGUUUUUGGCAUUAGCUGGGCUAAUCUUCUGGAAGCUUUUCUCACAUAUUCCCUACAAAUUUCUAUUUACGCCACUACACCCACUGACCCACAAAUGCUAAUUUCCACGAUGCUCCUCAAAUUGAAGUUCUUAACAUAUAUACUAUCCUUAAGUUGGAAAAUUAUCCAACUUUAUUGGAGAUAGUCGGUUUUGAAUGAAAAGAGAAUUUCUGCAGAGGACAUUAUGUAAGAAAUUGGUGUUUUGAAGAGCCUAUGAAAAUUUGGAAUUUGCACUGGUGUAUAGUUAAAAAGAAACUGAGAUUUCAAGGACAUGAAAUUUCUGAUUUUACAAGGUUUUAUGGUGUAAUUUGUAAUUUUUACUGUUUUAUCGCAAUUCGAUCUCAUGGUAAUCUUCUUCUAUUUUUGUUUUGUGUCUUCUUGUUUUUAAUCCUCACGCGAGCAAUUCUUUUUCUUUCAGGGGGCUGCCUAUUCUGAUUGCUGGCGAGUAAUGAUCUGCAGCUGGUUUCGACUUUGUUGCAGGAUUGGUAUACGAAAAAAAAAAAAAAAGUAGAAGAUGUUGAAUAACAAAUUUGUGCUUAUAGUCAAGCUGCUUUGAAUUUUCAGAAAGUGAUUGUGAAAUCACAAAAACAGUGAUAAUGUGGAAAAACUCGGAUUCAAGCUUAAUAAUGUGGGAUUCGUAUAUUUUGCAUCUGGAUGCCUAUGCAAACGGCCGCAGUUGGUCAAACAUUUGCUCCUUUUAUUCAAAUUUGUGAUUUAAAUGUCAAAAUCUUAAAGAAUUUAGGUUCAAAAAGACUGAUAAAAGAACCCAAACCAUUUUAGUUAGUUUCUAAUAUUGUUUGGUUUGAUUUGGUUUUGAAAAUUUUGGACGAGUCUGAAUACCACCCCCUCCCCUACCCCACCUCCAGAAAAGACAAUAAUUGAGUGUUAUUAUCCACAAAUUUUCUCCAGAAAAUAAAAAAGUUGUGGCCUUUUUUAUUUUUUAAAAUUAAAAUUAAUGUUACGCCACGAUAGAAUGUGGUAGACGCUGGUGGCCGGUGGUGAAACUCAAAAAAGCUACUGAAACAGAAACUUAAAAAAUGGGAGCGCUAAUAUUAACUAUCAAAAUUGACGAACCUGCAUUCUCUUCUGAAGGAGCUAUAGGGCUAGCGCGAGUAACUCUUUCCUACUACACAACUUGCAUCAGGUAGUUUGGACACAAUUGAUCAUAAGAGUAUUAAGAUUACAAUUAUAUUGGGAUUACAGGAUAUGCACAUGGUUCCAAAAUUACACAUUAGAAGAUCGGGCUUAGCCUCGUCAAAACCGUCUCUUCUGCUGGGGGUAUCCUGGGUUUUGCAUUACUCCAGGGUCUUUUCGUCUCAACUGUGAUUAGAAGAAACAAGAAAAGAAGGGGAAAAAAAAGAAAGAUUGUACAAUUAUACUGUAGCGAACAAACUGAGAGGAAGAGAGAGAGGGAGGGAGAUUUACCUGCUGUUGAGCGGCCGCACCCCUCGGCAUGGGAAUAUUAGCAGGGUUUAGACCCACCAUGCCAGGUUGGGCGGCAGCAUUAAAAGCGGCCAUGCUGGCGGCAGGGAUCCUCUGACCUCCAACCAUAGCUGGCAUCUGCCUCGCGACGGCCCUCGAGGCCGCCACUGAUUGAGCAGAUACACUGCCAGGAGGAGCAUUUCCAGAUGGCUGAAACAGAAGGUCAUAUUAGACUAGAGCAAACAAGGCGAUAGCAGAAAAUGACUGCAAUAAUAAUUCAUAAAUCAAGAAUUAGAUUCAACCAACCGAACAACGAUUGUUCAAUACGGAUAAGACUAUCCACCUAGAACAGUAGUUAGUACAACUCCCAGAUACAAAUCAACACCAGAAAAAUCCACCUAGCAUGGUUAGCAUUAUCUCCAGACAACUAUGCUGUAUUCUAGAUGACGAAUGCCAACAUGGUGAAUUAAAGAGCAUACAAUGACAAUUUAAAAGAACCCGCAAGAUCUAAUAUUUACAUUUGGUGCAGUUCAAAGCGAAUGACUGUGAAAACUCCUGCAACCUUAACAAAGGGAAGAGUGUGCAUCACCAUAUAUAUAUAUAGAGAGAGAGAGAGAUAGGCUCCUACGCUUUCAAAAGUACAGAGGCUUCUGUGCUUGUAAAUUACCUAUAUAGUUAUAUAUUUAGUUCAAGUAUGAGGUAUACCGGUUGAGGAGGUUGGAUGCUAGUCGUUCCUUCAAAAUCUGUAGUGGUGUCAACCGGACGGCCAGGAUAAUUUACGAUUUUUUCUCCUGGCUGGGAUGGCACAAGUGCGCUGGUCAUUUAGACAUUCACCAUGGUCAAUGUAAUAGCAUAAAUAACUUUGAUUUUUCCUGAUACUACAUCAGAAAAAAUAUCUAAGAUGAAUGUAGGGGUCAACUUACUUGCGCCCUGGAAGUGGAUCCAUCCGGAAAUACCUGAGAGGGACAUGAUCCCGCAUGGUCAAUGCAGAUACAUAUAUCAACAUAAUCAUGAAGCUUAUUUGCACGACAAAUAAUCAAAAGUUUACAUAUAACAGGAAUGAAAUCAUGUCAUGAUUUACAAAGAAUAAAUUAAAGAACCUCUAAAUAACCAUUUUUACAAAUUAGUUACCAAAUAAACAUCAUCAUGCUGUUUAAAGAUAUAUCAUAUAAACUAGUUUGCAGAAAGAUAAAGCAAGUUUAUAUUCCUACAACGGCGAUCGAUCCUUUCGACAUGAGAUUUAUCACAGAGAGCAGGUUCACACAGAACUGGACCAAGUGGUUUGCAUGUAUCACUUUCAAUGAAAACCAUACCAGGAAAGGAUUUCCCACAUCUGAUUUAUAUGCAUAAGUUUGAUUCAAAUAUAAACCAUUUAAAAGGUUAAAACAAGUGUGUGACUAGCUUCUGCAUGACUAGUUUAACAUAGCGGUCAAACAAAUAGAAAAAAAGAGCAUAACAACAUAUGUGAAUCAAGAAAAAUUAAAUAGCAAAGAGAGUUCAUUACUCAUGCUCCAGAGCUUGUGCUGCAGUUAUUCGCUUUCGCGGAUCAUAUCUGUCACACAUGAAUAAUUUAGAGGAUAAAUUGAUAAAAAAUAUGCUUAGCUUGAGUUUCAACAAAAACAUUAUGUCAUUGAUGCAUUUCUCAGCUACUCUGUCAUGCUAAGAUGCAUCUCAGAGAGCAAUUAUGAGUUUCAGCUACAAACUGCCACUAAUGAAAAAUCAGCAGCAGUGAAAUAGUUCACACAAAUACAGCAUAAAGAAGAAAGCAAAAAAGCAGGCACGGCAGUUUACAUAAAACGUACGGAGGAUACAGAGAGAAGAAACAAUCUAAAGAAGAUUAAUGACUGAUCAAUUGAAGAAAACUCAUGAAGCUUUCUACAACCCCCACCAAUAAGCUAUGGCAAGGAACAAAAAGACACGAGGUAUACCACAAAACAAUAAUUUAAAAAAAACAAGCAGCUAACAGAGGGAGGAAAAAAGGGAUAAAACAAAUGCAAAAGCAAGUACGGGAAAACAGCACGACAGACUCCUCACUUGAACCAAAAAGGUGGUAGGCAGGAUUCAUGCAGAGUAUUCAUUCACAAUCUAUUUAGAGGAUCCAGACCAAAAUGUACUAAUAUUAUAGUGUAAUAAUAUCAUGUAAUGAGCAGGAAACGAAUGAACAUUUAUAUAAAACAUGGAUAGUCAGAAGAGAAUUUUAGGGAAAAGGCAUCAUGCUCUGCCAGUCAGAACACUUUAUAUAAUAAGCAUGGACUAAAUAUCCAACUAUUAGCACAAAAUCAUAUGAACAGAUUAUACUUUCAUGAAUCAUAUAUGUUAAUAACGUAGAAGGUCUCUAUAGAUAAGAACAUGUAACGUACUCAAGCAUCUUUGACAGGAGAUCGAAUGCAGGACUCUUCGGAGCCAGAUGAACAAAAGUGUGGAGACCAGUGUUCUCACUGCAUAAAGAGAAGUACAUGAGUUCCAGAAUCAAAACUUAAAUAUAAGUCAAUAAUCUGUUACCUACGAUGACUGAACUUACUAUUUAUGCCCCUGAAUAUGUUGUUGGUCAUUUGCCCAAUGAGGAAGAUGAACCAAGGUCGGCCACUUCUCAGUUGUUGGGUGCCCUGAGAAGAAACACUACUGCUCAUUAUUGGUUAAAGAAGGUGUUCGGCAAAGCGUAACUGGGUUCAACCGAAGCAUUCUUACCUAAAACCUUGAAUAUCUUGUCCAAUUGAUCAAGCUAAAAAGGAAGAACAUAUCCAACUAUCAGAUAUCACCCGUUAGCACAAUUGUGGCAAAUAUCCGAUGCAAGAGACAAUCUCACAAGAGAAGUUGGAACAAAAUCAACUUCUACUGAAGUCUUCUAUGCGAAUACCGCACCAACAUUCAGAUUGGCACAAGACGAGAGAGAGAAACAAGUAAUAGAAGAUAUCCUUCAAAAAGAGAGAAUACGUACUUGAAAUGGAUUGGGAGUAGCUUUGACUUCCACCCCUUGGAACAAUGGUUUCAAAGUAAGCAACUCGGCAAAAAUGCAUCCAACCGCCCACAUAUCUAUUAACGGUUUAAGGAAAAUCUCGCGAUCAUAUUGACCAGUAACGUUGAUGAAAACUGUUUAACAACGGAUAUAAGGCCUAGAAUAUUAGCAACAGCCACAUUUUAAGCUAUAAAGGAUACCCACUGCAGUUGUGUAAUGUUUGGCACCAAGCAGCAGCUCAGGAGCGCGAUACCAGAUAGUUACCACAACCUGACAAUUGGUAAGCACCCGUGAAUACGAAUUAGGUGGAAGUUGUUUCCACAUUUUGACGCACACACAAAACACACACAGAAGAAGGCAGCCCAAGACCUUAAGUUAGGGUACCCACAGUUAAUCUGACCAUAGAAGAAUAUAGAAGUAGGACAGUAAAGUGAAGUUAUGCUCAAAUAGUGCGUCAAAUUAAUGGGAACAGACAAUGAGCAAUACAACCAAUUCCGAACAGAAGCGUUAUGCGCGAAUACAACGAAGAAAAAAAUUUACCCCAUUUUCAUACAAAGUUUUCAGCGGAGCUUGGUAUAUUCUGGCAAGUCCGAAAUCAGCAAUCUUCACGACUCCAUGCUCCUCUCCCUCGCCCAUGACCUAUUCACACCUUCGUCCCAUGUUAAGAGCCACAGGGAAAAAAAAAGCUUCUAAUUCCGUAGCGUAAAAAAUUUCACUUCAUGCCGAGUCAUACCAGAAUAUUAGAUGGCUUAAGAUCACGAUGAAUAAUCCAAUUGCUGCAACCGAAAGAGUUCGUAAAACUUUAGUGAGCAUAUCCGACACCAAAAAAAAAAAACAUAGAGCCCAAAUGUGCGCGUGAAACUCACCUGUGGAGAUAGUUGAGCCCGUUGAGCAGCUGCCAGAGCAACGACUUCACGGUGUAAGGAUUGAUGCUAAGGUUGAGCUUCUCCCUGUGAUGUCUUAUAAUCUCCUGUAGAGCAUCGGCAUUUGAAAAGCAUUUCAUAAACUUGCCAAAUACAAAUAUAUAAGGCCACUCGAUAUCCCCAAUCGCCCUAAGUUCGAUAAAGAACAAGUAGCAAACUUCUAAUAUCCCGUGUGCUAACACACCCGAAAUUCUUGUCGCGCCGCUAAGCUGCGUGCAAGCAGAGGAUAGGAUAUGCCGCCCGAUACCUACAUCGCCUAGUUAUCGACGUAUUACAGUUACUUGUAAAUAGCAAAAUGCGCCUAGCUUCGUUCGUUUUCAAAGACCAUAGGAAGUGAAUGAUAAAUGGACUUCCGAUCGAUCAGCAGGUCCAAUGAUAGAUCAGAUCAGUUUACACAAGCCGGUGCUCUUUACUCUUUGCAAAUUAAAACCCUAGAAAAAAUAAAUAAAAUCCAAAAAAAGAGAAGUAAUAGAACCCUAAAUCGGUGGGGGUGUCGGCGUGCGUACAUAGAGGUCGUGCUCGGCGUAGUCGAAGGCGAGGUAGAGGGACAUGUCGGCGUGGUUGAUGUGGACGUUGACGAGCUUGACGACGUUCUCGUGCGAGAUCUCCCUCAGGAGCUGCGCCGCCCCACCCAAAUCCAAUCCAAUAAAAUCGUGAGAUAUCUGAGGAAACGUGAGAUAUCUGAUGAGGAAGGAAAUUAGGGUUGGUGUUUUUUUGAGGAGACCAUGAUCUCGCGGAUGGCGGUGGGGGAGACGCCGUCGCCCUCCUUGGACUGCUUGAACUUCUUGAUGGCGAUGGAGGACUUGCGGUGCUGCUUGGUGCGCGCCAGGAACACCAGCCCGUACGUCCCCUCCCCGAUCUUCCCCACCAGCUCGUACUGCUGCAGCCACCGCUGUUGCCGCGCCCGUCCCCCAUCUCCCACGCCGACGCAGCCCAAACCCCCUCCCCCCACCCGCGCCACGCCUUACUCUUCCUUAAUUUUUCUUUUUCUUUUUCUUUUUUUCCUUUUUUCUUUUCCUGCUUCGCACGGCACGAGAUCACCAGAGAAAAUCUGGGCCGUUCUCUUUUUUUUUCCUUUUUUUAACGGUGGCUUUUUCCUAACUAAUUGUAUCGUAGAUCGGUCGGCGUAACUGACAUGUGGGGACGGCCCAAAUAGUAGUGUCGCUGGAUCUUCCCGUGUCUUUUAUCGAGGAAAACACUGCGUGCGUAUAUUCACGUCCAAAACUAAUUAGCAAACAUUGGAUCUUAUCUUUCUGAGAAUGGUUAGUGCAUGCUCUUGCAUGAGAUUAUUAUUAUUAUUAUACAUGAUUUUGCUAAUCUAGUAAAAUAAGGAAUUUAAAAACUUCGUGAAAACCUAUUUGUGUGAAAAUUUUGAAAAAGCUAAUUAUUGAUUUUUCUCUCCAUUGAAAUAAUAGUGUAAUUAAUGCUUACUGUUAAACUUGUCGGAGAGAUCAAAGAUUAAUCAUCUUAAUUAGAGGUUAAUUUGAGUCGUAUAUUAGUUUGAGUUUACUUUCUUGUGCAGUUAAAUUUCUGAAAUAUCUAAUAAACAAUGAUGAAGAGCGCCAUGGCUUGUUUCAAAUUCGAACUGAACCGUGCAGGGCCUGAGCUAACAACCCUCCGGCCCGGAAGACACGGGCUGCGCCGGGCCGGACCGUGCUCCGGGCAGACCCCUUAUCUUUUUAUUAUUUUAUUUUUUUUAAAAUGUAUAAUUUUUAAGAAUAAAAAUAAUAUACCAUUUCUAUUUAAAUUGAUAUUUUGAUUAAAAAUUUAAAAUUUAUAAAAAUAAUUAUAAAAAUACAUUUUAAAAACUUUUAAAUAAUAUAAAUUAUUUUUAUUAUUUUUAAGGUUCAAUGGACCAAACAAUUUUGGUCAGAGCCAAGCAACUACUUGGGCCGUCAACCUUGGGCCUUAGGCUUAGGUUCGAGGCAGUGCUGGCCCGGUCUGUUCUCGGCCUGGUACAGCCCAGUCCUUUUACGGGGCGGGCGAUCGUUUCCAAUUAUAGUGGCCCAGCGUGAUCCGUUUGGGCCGGGCGUCCCACGCCCGUUUUACAUCCUUCGCUUAGUAGUAGGACUAGAUGCGAGGGUCACAAAUACAUGUUAAUAGGUAGACCGAUUAGCCAACGGCUAUAUUUGGGGAAUCUUCAGAAAACUAGCCGUUGGAAACAAAUGAAAAAUUCGCUUACCGAAACCCUCCCUCCUCAUUCUACGUGUAUAUAAGCGACCAUAAACCCUCCCAAAUUUCCCAAGUAAUACGCUCCCCGCAAUCGCCAACUCUCUCCAUCGAGGAAGAAGAAAAGGGCUCUCUUUCUCCUUCCUCCCAAUUCGCUCCGUGGAAAUCGCAUCACAAAUCGCCCACUCCUCCUUUUCUGUUCCUUUUGUUUUCUUUCUUUAUCUUGCUAUCUUACUCUUUGCGUGCAGGGAUCUAUAUCUGUUAACAAUUUGUUUGUUUUAGUUUUUGUUCUUUUUUCUUCUUUUUUUUUCUUCUUUUGUGUGUCUGUGUGUGUGUGUUUGUUUGUUGUAAUCAUGGAUGCAGCUUCUUCCAUCUCGUCGGAGAAGUCGCGGAUCGCGUCCCGUCGCCCUCUUCAAGAUGUCGGCUCGAGGCCCUACAUACCUUCUCUGCUCACCUCCUCCAGGAACCCUUCUUCUUCCCGGCAAUACGUAAGUUAGGAUCCUUUUGAUAAAUUUGGUUUCCUUGAAACAACAAUUUUCCAGGUUCGCCUCUCAGGUGUUUGUUCUUUUACCCAUGAGAGCAUUGUUUUUUCCUUCCUUUUUUUUUUUGAAUUGUGUAUAAGUUUCUGAUACCUGUAUGAGUAUAUUUGAUUCUAGAAGUGUAAAUAUUAGAACCACUCUUGAAAAUUGGUUUCUAGAUGGAAAAUAGUUUUAAUUCAGUGCCAAUCCAGAUUUGCCCAUUAGAUAUUUGUUGCUUUAUCUAUAUCAUGAUUUAUUUUAGCAUGGCAAGAUUUCAAAUGUGUUCUUCUCCUAUGAAUAUAUAUGGACAGCGUUCUUAGAUUUUGGUAAUAGGUGUUUAUGUCUGUGCGAUCCUUUUUAGUUGGUAUUUCUUUUAAAUUGAUUUUCUAUCACUGUUUUGAAUCUUGGGUUUUGUUUCCUUUUCAUGUUUUGGUUAGUUUUUGAUAUACAUGUUUUUGAUUAAAAAAACUGGGUUAGUUUUUGAUAUAUAGUUUUAAUUCUUAAAGUGUGAGUUUUACGACCUUGUUAGAAUGUUUGUUUUGUCCACCUAUAUAGUAUCUUCCUUCAUCUCUUGAUUUCAAAGAUCUGUUUACAAAAUACUCUUCUUUAUCUAACAAUUUUCCUAUAUGUAAUGUUGUCACGCAUUUUCGCGAAUGUUUUAAUGAUCUGUUUGUUACAAUCACAGGGCGACAGGUUCAUCCCGGACCGCUCCUCUAUGGAUUUUGACAUGGCAUACUACUUACUAACUGAACCAAGAAAAGAGAAAGAGAACAUGGCAGUGGCCUCCCCCUCGAAAGAGGCAUAUAGAAAGCUUCUUGCCGAUACCCUUCUGAGUAACAGAUCCAGAAUACUCUCUUUCAAGAGCAAGCCUCCUGCUCCAUCCGAAGGCAUCUGUAAUGAAUUCAGCUCCAAUGUCACUUCUGCUGCUCAAACGAAGCCAGCGAGGCAGCGGAGGUACAUUCCCCAGGUAGGUUCUCUUCUCCGUUUACAUUUGGAUCUGUCUAGGAUUAAUAAAUUGCGUUACUUUGCUAAAUUUUCUAGCUAUAUUUCAUUUUUUUUUUCCAGUCAGCUGAGAGGACAUUAGAUGCUCCUGACCUCGUGGAUGACUAUUAUUUGAAUCUGCUUGACUGGGGAAGCAGCAAUGUUUUGUCGAUUGCGCUUGGCAAUACGGUCUAUUUGUGGGAUGCUUCGAGUGGGUCUACUUCUGAGCUUGUGACUGUGGAUGAUGAUAGCGGCCCAGUUACCAGUGUUAGCUGGGCUCCCGAUGGACGGCACAUUGCCGUCGGGCUGAACUCUUCAGACAUCCAGUUAUGGGACUCGAGCUCCAAUCAUCUGGUGAGUUUUUUAAUCUGCCACUUUUCUAGGUGUUUUCUAGUGUGUGCGUGCACAAUGCAUUUGUACUGUGGCUCUAGAUAAGCAGGCCGCUUAUAAGGUUUACUAUACUUGAUAAUAAGCCUGCAAAAUUAGUGAAUUGACGGUGUAUGUAUGUCAUAUGUGAGAUGCAGACUAAUCAUCUUAUGCUAAAAGUAUGGAGAGUAAUGUCAAAGUCCUUUACUUCAUUUCUUUGCACUUAUGUAAUCUGAACCUCUUCAUUUAUUUUGUUCUAAGCCUUGCAUCCUAAUUGCAAUCUAAGCUGUGAUCUAGCUGUGUAUGUUUCUAGGGAUACUUUUGAAGCCUUCAUUUGAUUUUCUGUACUUCUUGAAGUUUCAAUCCACUUACUUUAUGAGGACUUGAUCUAAGAUUGUUAUAUGGACUUAAUCCAGGUUCAUUUUGUAAAUUAGCUUGGACUUGAUCUAAGUACCUUUCCAGCUUGAUUUUGCAAUUCAAGAUUCAUUAUGGCUGGUAGAAGCUUGUCUGAGAAACAGCACACUACUCUACACAUCCAAAGUUAUUGGAUUAUUUUCAAUAUAAAAAUAUAGAAUAAAAUAAACGAUUAACUAUCAGAUUAUUCUACAAACUGCUUCUUAUAAACUUUUUGUAUUCUCUCUGGAUAAUGUUCCUAUCAUAUAUGGGUGUCUAAGCCCUUUCUUCUUUUGUAUUUACAGCUGAGAACUUUGAGAGGAGUUCACCAAUCUCGAGUCGGGUCCCUCGCUUGGAACAACAACAUCCUCACUACUGGCGGAAUGGAUGGUGCGAUCGUAAACAAUGAUGUCAGAAUAAGGUCACAUAUCGUUCAAACCUAUAGAGGGCACCAUCAAGAGGUCUGUGGCCUAAAGUGGCAAGGCUCCGGCCACCAACUGGCUAGUGGAGGUAACUUUAUAGAAAAAAAUUUGAAUUAAGUAGUUAUUUACAAAUGUUAGUGGACUCUCUCAGCUCGAAUUUAUUUGCAGGCAACGACAACCUCCUCCACAUAUGGGACCUCUCGAUGGGCUCUUCUUCUAAUUUGGCCCACAACCAAAAUCAAUGGCUUCACAGAUUCGAAGACCACAUGGCAGCUGUUAAGGCCCUAGCGUGGUGCCCAUUCCAAAGCAAUUUAUUGGCCUCUGGAGGAGGCGGGGGUGACCGAUGUAUUAAGUUUUGGAAUACCCACACGGGCGCUUGCCUUAAUUCAGUUGAUACUGGGUCUCAAGUUUGCUCUCUUUUGUGGAAUAAGAAUGAGCGUGAAUUAUUGAGUUCUCAUGGGUUUACGCAAAACCAGCUGACGCUUUGGAAGUACCCGUCGAUGGUGAAGAUUUCAGAGCUCACUGGCCAUACUUCUCGAGUUCUGUUCAUGGCUCAGGUACAUAUAUGCAUAUUAUGUAUUGAAUUAUUACUUGGCUUGGGUUGAAGUCAUAGGUAAUGGAUUAAACUGAUGAGUCUUCUUCGUCUUCUUUUUUCUUUUGCUCAGAGUCCUGACGGUUGCACAGUUGCAUCGGCUGCGGGGGAUGAAACUCUGAGGUUUUGGAAUGUGUUUGGGAAUCCUGAAACACCGAAACCCGCAGCCAAGUCAGCUAGUUUAGGGCCCUUUGCCAGUUUUAACCACAUUAGGUGAGGAGAAGGGGCAGAGAACAAUAUUUGGAGGUAUAUAUGAGUAUUGAGUAGUAACUUGGAGGAACAAUAUUGUGGUUACUGGUGAUGGGCUGAGAUGGGACAAAGGUUUCUAAUUUACUGAGGUAAGGUAGUGUUUGAUCAGACUCUGCUCUAUUUUGCUUUCUGUAGAAACACAUUAUCUUGACAUGUUUUUUGUUCGUCUCCUCUUGCAGGUCAUCUUCUGCUUGUUACAUAAUCAAUUUUUUUAGGUAAAUCAUUUCUUAGAAUCAAGCUUGAUAUAGAGUUGAACAAUGGUCGUAACUUUGAUAGAGCAUCAUAAUCACUAUACAUUGAAAGUUUUGAACAACCGCAAAUUAAUGAGGAAGUCACUGCAAUAAUAAUCACUAUACAUUGAAAGUAACUCAUUUGUAUCACGCAAACUUGUGUUUGUUUUAGUCAUCUUUUUUUGUUUUUGGCUAAAGCACGAAGGCAAAAUUAGUUUUUUAAAUUCAAAACUAGAAGUUCUAAUUGAAACUUCAUCUUCUGCCUCUGCAAGAAAACUUUUCGGGAGAUGUUAAUGAAAUAGCUGUUUAAGCCCCUUUUUUUUUUUUAACUUUUGCAAGAGCUCAGGUCAAACAGGAACUAAUACGUGAAUCUUUGUCUUCAUUUACCCCAUUUGUUAAUUGCUUUUCUUUUGCUUCUGCUGCUCUGAUAAUCAGAUUGCAUGUGUCAGCAUGGUAAUCUGAGGAAAUCCUAAAAUUCCAUACUCCACAAGAUUGAACAGCAUAUGGUUUUCAAUUUCAAGGGCAGGUUGUAGAAGAAUGUUACAGUGGCUUCAAAAAUGCUGGCUUGAUAACAAUGUCGGCGUCUGAUGGAAUUAGCUUCGAUGACGAGCUCUCAUCAACUGCAAAAGAAUCUUCAUUUUGUACAGUGAAUCAUUUCCUUUAUUAGAUUUCUUUUAUGAACCAAAAGUAGGUUCAUACUUCUGUUGCAAAUUAGUUGGUAGUGAAAAGUUUGAAAUUAUCCUCCCUGUGGAUGUAGGCAAUUGGCCGAACCACAUAAAUUUCUCGUGUCUGGUCAUGCUUUUUUCUUUCUUUUACUUCUUAAUUGGUGUUUCACUCUAUCUACUUCUUUUAGAUCAGCUGUUACUUGAGUUGCUAGUAGCGUCAGAAAUCACCUAGUCUUGGCAAACCGUUGCAUGCUGAAAAUUAGAUUGUAUUUGGUAUUAUACCAAGUGAGGACUCACUCUUUCUUAUCAUUAACCCAUUUUUCUGAUGAUUUUAGAGCAUAGCUGACACUUUUAAGUGAGCCUAGCUCGUCUUUACAUUAGCUGGAACUCUGGCAGAUCUAAAUUUUAGUAGGAAAUUAUCUAAAUGACAAAUUUUUGGGAUUCGUUGGAAAUCUUGUUCCGAAUAUUAGAUAAUGUUCAGCUGACAGAAGAGAUUGCUCUUAUGGCCAAAAUAAGAUAGGAUGGGAUGGAAGUAACAUGUCUAGGCUACAGAACAAAUAGUAAUGUGAAAAAAUAACUUAUUCGCCACAAGCUAAUAAACUGCAAUGGUGUUUUUGGAGGGCUUUAGUCUUGUGUACGUCCCUGUUGAUUGCCAUAUAUCAUGAUUCAUUGGGCGGGCGAUGAUCGGUUGAAUGAUUGCACAGUAUCAGUCACGCAAAGACACAUAAGAAGAGACUCCGAGAAUGGCAGUAAUCAGGGACAAUAUGGCAGCUUCUGGUAAGUCUCUGGACCUCAGGACAUAGCAACUCUUCUGUCCGCUCUGUCGGUGACGACUGUUCCAGACGGCAGCAGAUAUGAAGAUUGAAAACGCCAGUAUAAAUGUAAACCUGUGACAGAAGGAAUUCUCUCAUUCUUGAGUGUGAUGAUUGCAAAAGAAAAUGAAGAUCGUAUGAGGAACUCUAAAGCGUCAUUUGCUCGGCGUGCUCUGGCCAUUUUAAAUGUAGCAGAGAGAAUAAAACAUAAUAAUCUUACUUUGGAUGUUUUUCACUAUUCACCCUGGUUGCUUCUUUGUAGAUUGGAUUCUAGGAUAAGUGAUGUUUUUUGUGCUUCUUUUUACCUGGUAAUUCGAUUGCGAAAAUGGGCAAAAUACUUCUUUCCUUUUUAGGUUUCUCUGGGGCAUCUUACUCCUGGUUCAUUCUUGAAAAGGAAAGGAUAAGAGAAAAAGCAAAGCAAUAUCUUUUAACCAUUGAUACAUCUAAAAUAUCUGAUGCUAGGAUGCAAAGCUGUUCUGGCAGGUACAAUCACUAGUUCACUAGUGCUAGAUAAACUUCAAGAUCAAUUGAUGAAAGUAGAUGGCUUGAUUACCAAGAAACUAUGGCGGCGAUCAACCCUGAUACUCGACGGCAGUUCCACUUCCACUGACGAGUACUGCCUUUACAGCAGCAGCAGCAGCCGCAGCCUGUGGCGGCGCUAGCUAUUAACUGAGCAAAUAGCAGGGUCACGGCUGCUACAACCGCCAGGGCGGCAGCAGAGCUCUCUGGGUAAAUGCAGUCGCCUGAGGUCGUCAAUUGUACUUGCGAAGCCUGCGAGGUUAGGCAUUGAACUAUCAGUAAGAUCCACAAUAAAGACUUGUUCUUAACGGAGCUACGAGCGCUUAUCCUGGCUAUUUAAAACAGAUCAAUCAAUUCACAAAUGAAACAACUAAAAUGAGCUUUUGGAUUGAAACAGCCUAAAGCUAUAUCUAGUUUGAUUACGGCUUUUUAGCUACAUAGUACAUACAUACUAGCGGUCCUGUUAGCAUAUGUGGUUUUCGCGUGUGCAUCUGCGACGGCACAGAAAAUGAUGUAACAGGUUUACUUGGGACACUAAUAAAUUUAA